GAUGAACGCUGGCGGCGUGCUUAACACAUGCAAGUCGAACGAAGCAUUUGCGACAGAUUUUUUCGGAGUGAAGUUGCUUAUGACUGAGUGGCGGACGGGUGAGUAACGCGUGGGUAACCUGCCUUGUACUGGGGGAUAGCAGCUGGAAACGGCUGGUAAUACCGCAUAAGCGCACAAUGUUGCAUGACAUGGUGUGAAAAACUCCGGUGGUAUAAGAUGGACCCGCGUCUGAUUAGCUAGUUGGUGAGAUAACAGCCCACCAAGGCGACGAUCAGUAGCCGACCUGAGAGGGUGACCGGCCACAUUGGGACUGAGACACGGCCCAGACUCCUACGGGAGGCAGCAGUGGGGAAUAUUGCACAAUGGAGGAAACUCUGAUGCAGCGACGCCGCGUGAGUGAAGAAGUAAUUCGUUAUGUAAAGCUCUAUCAGCAGGGAAGAUAGUGACGGUACCUGACUAAGAAGCUCCGGCUAAAUACGUG
rnacentral:rRNA from 1 species